rnacentral:misc_RNA from 1 species
GAUGAAGAACGUAGCGAAAUGCGAUAAGUAAUGCGAAUUGCAGAAUUCAGUGAGUCAUCGAAUCUUUGAACGCACAUUGCGCCCGCCAGUAUUCUGGCGGGCAUGCCUGUUCGAGCGUCAUUUCAACCCUCAAGCUCAGCUUGGUGUUGGGACUCGCGGUAACCCGCGUUCCCCAAAUCGAUUGGCGGUCACGUCGAGCUUCCAUAGCGUAGUAAUCAUACACCUCGUUACUGGUAAUCGUCGCGGCCACGCCGUAAAACCCCAACUUCUGAAUGUUGACCUCGGAUCAGGUAGGAAUACCCGCUGAACUUAAGCAUAUCAAUAAGCGGAGGA